CGGACGUAAACAAUUUUAAAUUUUAGUGAAGUGAGGCGAGUGAGGCUAUGUUAUAAUCGUUCCGUUAACGCUUCCGAGACUGAACCGUAUAAUAAAUAAUAAAACUGAGCUAUAUAAUACAAUAAAACUGACGUGCCGAAAAUCAUUUAAAAGUGCAACAUGCUGUGUCAGUUACCAGGUUGCAGUACACGAUAUUGGGAUAGGAAUAAUAAUCACCCAAUGUUUAGAGCUCUCUCUGAAAAACAGUUGAAAGAUUGGCAAGAAAUAUUAAGACUGAAAGGCGUAGUUGAUUUCGGUAAAAAUGACCGAGUUUGCGUUUUACAUUUCAAAGAAGAACAUAUUGAGCGAGAACGUAUAAUAUACCAAUCCGGUGGAAUAGUAUCCAAAAUGCCGAGGAAAGUACUGCUUCUGACUCCUACUGCUGUUCCAACAAUUUUUCCCACCAACGUAUCUAGAAGUUUCCCGUAUUAUACCAUGCAAGAGAGUCAAACACGAUUCACAACAAAUUGGUAAGGCUUGCCUUGGUUAUGUGAUGAAAAAUUCAGUUGGUCGUCAAAAACUCUUCUGCUCCCCGUGCAAUAAAUAUCAGACAAAUGCGAAAAGGAGGAUGAGAACAGAAGGUAAGAUCCAUUUGCUGAGAAACAUGAAACAGAAUCUGUGAGUGAAGUGUAAUAAACUUCGUCGUAAAAGUGAGCUUCUUCAAACCAAGGUACGAUUCAAUGAAGACAUUAUAUAACCGUUCGUCACACAUUGUGAUUUCCUAAAAUUAUGAAUCCAUGAAAAUACCAUUGUGCCCUUUAAAGUUAAAGGCACUAAAAAAAACCGUGACUUCGUUGAAACAGCAAUGCCAAGUAGCAGACAAAACAGCCUUGGAAAAAGCGAUUACAAACUACCAUUUAAUUAACAAGUUAGUAUAAAAGCUUGUUCUGCUGCAUCAAAAACAUCAACACUCAGUGGGUGUAUGAAUGUGUUCUGACUCGCAUUAAAAAUAAAAAGGUCUACGAACACCUGCGAAAGCGCAAGAUACUCGUGCUUCCUGAUAUUUCAACAUUGAAUAGAAACGUUAAACGUAUCAUCCUUAUCACGUGAUACUUGUAUGAAAUUCCAGUUGCGCCGUGUGGCCUGCAACUAGUCAUACGGUACUGAAUUUUAUAGCAUUCUUCAGGCGUUGUUCGUAGCCUUUGAUCGACAGGUGUAUUUAUUUAUAUCUGUUAGUUUUCCGUACAACUGUUGUUGCUGGUAAAAAGAGAAUUUAAAAAAACAAGUCACAGGCUGUAAUUUACUCUCAUCGUGCGAUCACAAUGAUGAGAUUUAAUUACACUUUGUUCAAUUCAGAUGAGAUUUGAGUUUCUCUGCCAGAGCUUUGCUGUUGCGAAUCUUGAUGUACAUAAUUACUUUUGCGUUUACUUAUAUUCACCAUCUUACUUAAUCCAUUGUUACAAUUAAACAGAUUGCAAUUUUCCGUUUGGUCCGUAUGGUCUUUUUCAUUGGAAAUUCAUUUUUUUUCACCGGCAAAUGGAUUUGAAUGAAUUAAAGAUUCGUCGGUAAAAAUCGAUCUAAAUAUAGCAAACGUUGAAGAGUCGUGAUAAGAAAGUGCAGCGAAUUUUUUUUUUCGAACUUCCCUGGAAUUGCAAUAUUUUGUUAGGAUCAACUGUAGUUAAUUCGAAUUAAGUAAAUAAGUCUGCUUGUUCUAAUAUUUUCUUUUAGCGGUUUGAUUACAAGUUACAGCGAUUUUGUGACAGCGAUAGACUUCUGUUGAUGAUUAGCAACAAACUCUAUUUAGAAAAGCCGUCAUUCGUUAGAUGUCACUCGCAAAAUGUAAAGUUCGUGAAAACCGGAUUCUUUCAAAACUUCGUACCUCCAUAAUACGUGUAUUAUUAUUAUGG
rnacentral:lncRNA from 1 species